rnacentral:tRNA from 1 species
UUAAUUGAAGCCAAAAUAUAGAGGCGAUUCAUUGUUAAUGAAUAUAUUAAUCUUCAAGAUUCAAUUAAA